GUUUUCGCCCUCGUUGCGAUUCUUUUCUCUCGCCCUCGUUGCGAUCGAGACCUUCCUUCUCUCUUGCCCUCGUUGCAAUCUGUUUCCUUUUGUGUGCGUUUGGAGUCGGAUGUAAGUCCAUUUAUUGGCAUUCUGUUUCCUGUUCGCGUUUAUUUGUUCGGAGUCGGACAUAAGUCCAUUUAUUGGCAGUCUGUUUCCUGUUUGUCCUUGUUUGUAUGGAGUCGGAUGUAAGUCCAUUUAUUGGCAUUCCGUUUCCG
rnacentral:lncRNA from 1 species